rnacentral:sRNA from 1 species
AGUAGCUGGUGCCUUCCCGGAAGGGUCAGAGGCGGGCUCGGGCAAGCACUUUCAGCUUUUAAGCCCAAACAGAUGAGUUGCCUGCAGUUUUGGAGGCCUUCAGAGCAUUUCACUAGACCUCUGUCUGUGUCAGUCCAGUGUCUUUAGCCAAGCUUUGAUUAAAGAUGACUUCCUUGUUUGCUCAAGAAAUUCGCCUUUCUAAAAGACAUGAAGAAAUAGUAUCACAAAGAUUAAUGUUACUUCAACAAAUGGAGAAUAAAUUGGGUGAUCAACACACAGAAAAGGCAUCUCAACUCCAAACUGUUGAGACUGCUUUUAAAAGGAACCUUAGUCUUUUAAAGUACUUCAAUAAACAUUUAUUGAGCAUCUAUUAUAUCACAAACAGUGCUUGCUGCUAGAGAUGCUGCCUCUUCUCUUUUUUUGCAUUCUUUGAGUCAUUGCAUAUGCAAUUUUUAAAAUCCUACUUUCCCUCAUAUGUUUUUAAACUUUGGAAAGAAUUUUAGUGGCUCUACCAUAGAAGUCAUUAUGAAAGUAAAAUAAAUGAGACUUAGCCGGGCACAGUGGCUCAUGUCUAUAAUCU